rnacentral:rRNA from 1 species
GACGAACGCUGGCGGCGUGCUUAACACAUGCAAGUCGAACGGAAAGGCCCUGCUUUUGUGGGGUGCUCGAGUGGCGAUCGGGUGAGUAACAGGUGAGUAACCUGCCCUUGACUUUGGGAUAACUUAAGGAAACUGGGGCUAAUACCGGAUAGGAGCUCCUGUUGCAUGGUGGGGGUUGGAAAGUUUCGGCGGUUGGGGAUGGAUUCGCGGCUUAUCAGCUUGUUGGUGGGGUAGUGGCUUACCCAGGCUUUGACGGGUAGCCGGCCUGAGAGGGUGACCGGCCACAUUGGGACUGAGAUACGGCCCAGACGCCAACGGGAGGCAGCAGUGGGGAAUAUUGCACAAUGGGCGGAAGCCUGAUGCAGCAACGCCGCGUUCGGGAUGACGUCCUUCUGGUUGUAAACCGCUUUCGCCUAAGACGAAGCUGGAGUGACGGUAAUGGAUAAAGAAGCACCGGCUAACUACGUG